rnacentral:lncRNA from 1 species
GGACUUUUUGUUGUCACUUAACUUUUUACUUUUUUUCUCAGUCACAAUGCUUUUGUCUUUGUUCUGUACUUUUUCUUCUUUUUCUUACUUUUGAUUUUUUUCCUUUUUUUUCACACAUUUUUGCCCAACCUAUAAUCACUAUAACACAUUAUUUCUUCCUUUUUUUUACCUUUUUUUUAAAAUCGCCAUAAUAUAUCUACCCAAACCCUCAAUAUCUAUGGUCUAACAUCUAUUUCAUAAUGUAUUAAAAGACCAAGGAUAGGGAAGAGUUCAAGUUUUCAAUUUAUGUGUGGUCUUUGG